rnacentral:lncRNA from 1 species
GAAUUUUCUUGUAACUUGUAGGUCAGUAUUUCUAAUUAUAAUGAUCAGCUUAAGGUAUUCAUCUUUUCAUUCUUGAAUGAAUUGAUAACACAGCAACUGAGGUUGACCUAUUAACUAUUAAGCGUUCCUUUGCAGAUGGGAUUACUAUUACUACAUCCAGCUAUUUAGCAAUUGGGUACCAUGGUCAGACUUGUAACUCUAUUUACAUUCCAUUUUAGAAUUUAUAUAGUUGACAAACACGGCAUGGUCUGUAAGGUGGACGUGGAUCUGAUAGUAAUGGACGGUGUUAAAUAAGGAAGUUAAAGUUUUGUGUAUUACAUUUUCAGUUAUGAUCUAAUAUUAUAUUGCUACAAACAUGCCAUCAGGGCAAUGAAAAGAAGGCACUUGUUUCUGCAAUGUUAUUGAAGAAGAGAAGAUGAUGGAACUUAAGGUACUUUGUAACCGAUAAAAUCGACAUGAGUUUGAUAACUUUUCAGUUACUAUUUUCAUGUAUGGUUUUAUUACUUUUGUUGCAAUUAUUCUACACCAAUCAGUGUUCCAAAAGACUCCUAAACAUGGAUAUGUUCGUACUCGUCUUAAAAGUAAUGUUUGCUUGACCGGGGAAUUCUGAAUGCCUUUAUUCUACCAAUAAUUUCAAUGGUCUCUCGUACAGACAGGUCGUGUAUCAUAAGAGUUGAGACACGAGAAUCUGAAACGAAAUUGUAAAAAGAUGAUUAUUGCAUCUUCAGUAAUUCUUUGAUGUAAGAUAUUUAGUUAAUUGGACAGUUUCUCAUUUUCUUUCUCUUCUAACCAUUCCAUAGGUCUUUACAUGUUUUUUGCUUUCUCAUGAGGGUGCUGUUUGAGAAAAUUUCUCAAAAGAUAAUUCAACUACUUCAAAGAAAUUGAAAGAAGAAUAAAUGAUAAAUGGAGAAACCUUAACUCAUAGUUUAAUUCUUAGGGAUAAGGUGCAAAUUGACACAGAUUAAGUGAAAAUUAAUCUUAGUUAAAAUCUCAAGCAAGAGCUUCGAGCAUAUUUGGCUAAGCUUAGAAAGUUCACAACAAGAAAGUUUUAAAGUAAGCAUUUGUUUAUUGGUCAAAGUUUGAACAAACUUUAAGUAACUCUUUUACAUAAAAAAGGAAGGAAAAAGUAAGCUAUCAAAAUAUAUUUGGAAACAAAAACUUAAAGUAAGAACAAUUUAUCCCACGGCAUAAAUGAUCCUGAAUAUAUCCUUUAUUGAAGCUCAAAUUUACUGUCAACAAUAUUUGUUCAAGAGUAUCUUGCGGAUGCAGGAUGGUAACAAUUAUGAGAUAAGUAAUAUCUUAUUUUCCUUACAAGUUACAACUAUGGAAGUUUGUUGUAGCUUGUGCCUAACCUAAUAUUAGCUGUAAGGUUUUUUUAUGAAAUAAUUUUUAAUUUUUUACAUUGUGAAAGGAAAGCGUCUGCAAGAUCUAGCUAUCUGUAUGCAUUUACGAUGCUUUUGAGAUUGGUCUCUUUAUUUCAAAUUAGUUGUUCUCUAUUGCUUCAAGCAAAAUUCGCAGGAAGGCAUUUGAAUUUUAGUUGGAAUGAUUAUGAAUAUUAUUUUGUUUUGUUAACAGGUUAUAUGACCAUAUUUCAUUAUAUUGAACCCAUGAACCUCAGUUUUUAAAAUUUGUUAGAUCUGAAGAGGGAUGCUAUUGAAGGUUCCAACGACUAUUUUAGUCUACCAACUUUUACUAUUGUCAAUUUACUAUAAUUCCUUUAAUUCUGUUUUUAAUUCAUAAUUGUUUUUGUACUUAUCAAAUGUCUAUAUUAGCUCCUACAGCUUAUUAGUUCUUACGAGAUUUUAGAUUUCAUGUUCCUUACUCUUGUUUAAUGUUGUGUAGCUUCUGAAUCAGCUUUUGGUUCGUCUUAUGAUUACUCAGCUAACAUUGAAGUAAAAUAAAUAAAUAAAAUAAAAAAAUUAUAAUAAAUCCUUUUGAAUUGGCUUGUUAUUAAUUAUUCAUAAGGCAUUUUAUAUUUCCGUUUUCUAUUAUAUUAGUCUUAUAAUUUGUUGUGUUUUCAGUGCCUGGCUGAAUGCACCUCAGCAUAGAGGUGGGAUUGUGAAAAACCCUACAUUUGAUUCAUAUUUAAAUGAAAGGACUGCGUUUCCAAAGGGAAAAAUUGGAAUUGAGAAAUCUAAGGGGGAACAAAUUCAUAGUAGCAACUAGCAGAAGCUCACCAAAUAAUAGUUUCUCGCAAAACUUUCAUAUAAAAAAUGACCUUCGGCAUAUGUUUUCUGGUAAAUAUAUAAGAACUACAAGAUUUGCCAUUUGUAUUGUAAUAACUACUUGUAUUGUUCAUUCAAAAUUAUUAGAUAGCCUGGGUACAAAUCAG